GAGGAGGAUCCUGCAGGCUGCCAGCUGGCUUCUGGAGUGCCUGAGUGUGCUGCAGGCCGCAGCGGACACGCCAGCAGUGCUGGCUGCUUUCCAGGCCUUCUCCGAGGCCCUGCUCCUGCUGAGCAGCCUGACAGCAAAGCGCCUCGAGGAACUGGGGGACUGUCCUCGACAGAAGAGCUUGGCUCAAACCUUGCAGCUCCUCCAGCAGCGUGUCCCUCUGCUGCACGCAGCCAAGGACAAGCAUCUUAAACACUCCCGGGAUCAGCAAGUCAGCUGCUCCAAGGAUGAUGCUUUCCAGCUGGUGGAGAGGACCAUCAAGGAGCUCAUGUCCCUGCUCACUGAUGACACAGGGAGCAAGGAGCCAUGGGACAGAAGCGGGACCUUCUCCGAGCACGUGAGCAGGCUGCUGGCUCUCCUGUCCCCCCCAGACCCCCUGCUCCUCUCUGACAGCACCUUCAGUGCUCACGUGGGAGCGGUGGUUUUCCACUGCAUGCUCCUGGCAGAGGCAUCCAGGCCACAUCAAAGGCUGGACCUGGUCAGACGUUGCUGGGUUCUGCUACGGCUGCGGAAGAGCAUCUGCAGCCUCGCAGGGCAGCAGGAGAGGGGCCCAGGGCUGGAGGGGGAAUGUCAUUCCAUGAGGCAGGAGGUGCAGGACCUCGACCAGGUGGUGCUCGCAGCGACACUGUGCCAGGUCCUCGACACCUUCCCUGGGGGUAAGGAGCCCCUGAGGCUGUUGGUUGAAGGUGCCCUCAGCCUUGCUGCUCCGGGGUGUUUUCCUGCAGGACAAGGAGGGUUUUUAAAGCAGCUGCAGCCCCUCAUUGCUGCCUUCUUCACACAUGCCCAAGGGAUGCUCCGAGCGGCAGACUUUGUCCUGGCUCGGUGCCCCAAGCCCCACACUGCUGGAGACAUCAGGGAGCUGGUGCAGCACCUGAGGAGGCUCCUCGCCAGCGUCCCUCCUCUGCUCGCUGCAGUGAGCAGGGAUGGAGCCCAGGCGAGUGCUGCUGAGCAGCUGCAGUCCCUGUGCCACGCGUGGGCUGGCGCAGCACAGAGCCUGCUGUGGUGCUUUGAGGACACAGUCAGCACUCGUGAAUUCCUUAAGCUGUCCAUCCGGGAGAUGGCCAAGGAGCGGGAAUGGUGUGAAAGGGCCCUGGGGAGCCAGGACCCCGAGAGGUUCUCUUGGCACACAACCCACCUCAGCAGCUGGGCUCGGUGGGUGGUGGAAGCCACCACCAGGUACGUGGACAGAGCCACAGACCCCAUCUUCAGGAAUGGUUUGCUGGUUUGGGUCGAGCAACUGGCCAGCUCCAUCCUCGAGCUGAAAGCAGCUGCAGCCCUUUGUGCAGAGAGACCCUCCUGCCCCCAAACCAGGGAUGUCUUUUCCAAGGCAGCGAGCUGCCUGAUGGACGCUGCUCAGCGUGUCCAGGACGGGCUGGAUGGCUCCAACCACCCAGACAUCCUCAGCCCGCUGCGGGAACAAGUGCGAGGCGCUCCUUUUGCGAAGGGGGUUGAGCUCAGCCCAUCGUGUGCUGGGCUAAAAACCAUAAUGGAUGAGGCUGUGUUGCAAGAAGACACCUUAAGCCAUCCAUCUUCACAAGCAGGUAGCUCGCACCCAAGGAAAGGAGGCGCACACCCUGUGAUCACAGCUCUGCUGGCAGCAAGAGGAGCCCAUGACACGCCAUUGCUCAGUGCUGCUUGCUCUGCCUUGCUCGAGCUCUCCAGAGGCUGCGUGGAUGCAGCAAAGGAAGCGCUGUCCCUUGCUGAGUGUCCGCACAGGGAGACACUGGGGCAGUACCAGGAGAUUGAGCUUCUGACACCACGUGUGAUCAGCCUGGCCAGGGACACGGCCCCAGAGCAGCGUCCUUGCCCAAGUGAGCUUUUCCACGUGGCCCUCACGCUCUCAGAAAGGAUCUGCCACACCAAGGAGUGCCUGGCAGCCGUGGCAGGCUCCUGGUACAGUCUGUCUCAGCAAGUGUUUGUCUUUAUCUUGUCUGCUGACUUCCUGAGGGGCAAACAGGCUUUGGAGGAGACCAUGAUGGGAUUAGCAGGAGCAGUUCAGUUCGCAGCAGACAUUGUGAGUAUCACCUGCAGGGAGGGAAGCCCCCUCUCCCCUGAUGGCUGGGGGAGCUUUCUGCAGGUCCAAGCCAAGUUUUCACGCGCUCGGAUGAUCACCAGAGCACUGCUUGGGAAGGCAGCAUCCUUCGAGGGCUCCAGCGUGGUGGGCAGGGCCAGCCUGGAGCUGCUCUGUGUGCAGUGGGCUGUCAGCGCACACGUCCUGCUGGGCGCUGUGGAUCGGUUCCUAGGCAGGGAUGUGCUGCUCCUGAGGGAGCUGAGGAGUGCUGUGAGGAACAAGCUCUGCCCUCAGAGCCUCCUGGCUGCGCUGUCCGAGCGCUCCCUGAGGCUGCAGGAGGCUGCCCGGCUCUCCUCCUCGUCCUGCCCUGAGGGCCAUGGGCACACUGAGAUCCUAGUGCUCAGGGAGGAGAUGCAGGUGCUGAUGGAAGCGCUGCUGGAGGCCUCCAGCACCCUCCUGCUCUCCCCGCUGCCUGCUGCCAGCCUGUGCGUUCGCUUUGAGCUCCUGCAGAGGGACCUGGCCCUCCGGGCCAAGGCGCUGCUGCUCCACCUGGAGAGGGUCAAUGCCGAACACUUGCGGGUCAUCAGAGACGUGGUUGGACCUGCCCUGACCCCCCUCUCCCAAGAGGAGAGGGAAAGGAGCAAAGAGGCCUUUGAAGAGAAGGCAAAGAGGCUGAUGGCAAAUGUCCAGUGGGUCAAAACCACCCUCCACCAUGUUCUGGAGGCCAACACUCAACCGGAGCUGGAGGCAAACCUGCUCUCCAUCGCAGACCACCUCCUGCUCCUCACGUCCAACGCAGUGGGCAGCGCCAGGCAGCUCCUCCAGAGCCACCAGGGUGAAGAGCAUCUCCACCUAGAGAGCACUGUCUGGUACUGGUCUGCAGAGGCACACUACCUCGUCACACAGCUUCAGGCUGUCCAGGGCAUCGGUGGGGAUGUUGUGGAGCUCAUCAAACACUGCCUGCAGAACACAGGGGACCAGAGCUUCCCAGGACACCACCACAGCACAGCCAAGCUCUUCCCAGCCCUGGAGCUGGAUGCUCUGAGCCACGCCAGGUCAGCAGAGACCUGCGCCAGCAGGAGCGGACGAGCAAGAGGAGCUGCCAGGGAGGCACCUGCAAGGCACCGCAAAGGCCCUCCCAGCACCUCCCCUGCCAGCAGCCCUGUGAAGCACGAGAGAGAAAGCAGUGACACGGGGCAGGGUGGCCCCAGCAAGAUGUCCCAGGUCACCAAGGACAUGGCAACAAGGAUGCGCCACAUGACUCAGUUCCUGAAGAAGAAGGGCCCCAUCACAAGCAAGGACCAGCUCGUUGCCUGUGCGAGGCAGAUGGCUUUGGAUGGGCAGGAGUUUGUCACCUUUGGCCGUGCCGUGGCCAAGCUCUGCCUGGACAGGAGGUGCUCCAUGGAGCUGCUCUGUGCCACCGAGCAGGCCCACACCAUCAGCAGCCAGCUCGGCAUCGUGGCCAGGGUAAAAGCAGUCACUGCAGAGAGCAAAUCCUCCUCCGAGCUGCUCGUGAGCAACACACAGAACCUUGUUCAAGCGGUUUUGCACAUCCUGAAGGCAGCUGAGGCAGCGUGUAUCAAAGUAAGUCCAUGCUGAUGGCAUCCGAUGGGCUUUGCAAGGUGAGUCCGUGCUGUGGGGAGCUCUUACAGCCAGGCCUGGUAAUGGGAGGUGGGAGCUGCCUGCUGUGGGACCUCUGUUGGCUCCCGUGAUCUUAUUUCGUGCCUCUGCCUUGUUUCCAAAGCCCACCACGCAUCCUCCCAAGCAUCAAUAGGCUCUGUCACUGCUACCAACUCUGAAGUCCUUUUAGCUGCUCUGUCUCCCAUCUCAUUUUGGGACAGGAGAGCAGCAGCAUCUCACUGGAGAUCUGCAUUUGGAAAUGGUCCAUGUUGGUCUCAGCCUUUAUGUUGUCUCAAGAUGAGCUUUGAUCGACACCCCCAAGAGCUUCCCUUGGGUGGCUGAUUGAUCCAACUGUACAGCUUGUGAGAGCAGCUUUACCUGAAAGCACUCAGGAACAAGCACAAGCACAACCAGAGCCUCCUCUGAGGUGCUUUUCCACCCUGUGCCCAGUCUCCUGUGUAAUCCUACAACUUGUGCUGAGCUUUCUGACUCUUUCUGGAAGAGACACUUUUUGUUAGGACCCUCUUUGAUGGACACUCAGCCACAAGGGUGAAAAAGCUCCUCCUGUGGUUUAUUACUGCUAAAAACAUGAUAUACGUCCAUUUCUCACUGAUGCCAGCCUGAAGGAACGAGCCAUGCUUUUAUCUUUGCCUAGAUUACAAACUCCUUUACAACCUGGCUUCUUCCCUUUGGAAAUUGCCCUAAACUACCCCUCCUGCCCUCCUUUCCUCAUUCUGUAAGCAGGUUUUGAAGCACUUUGAAAGCAUUAACAGGUAGAGAUGCCACACUGGUCUCACACACAUUGAUACACUCAGACGUUUAUAUCGUUUAAGGCAUUUUAAACAAGUUCAUGCACACUAUAUUAAAGCACACAAAUAUUCUGUCUCGCAGGGUCUGUGCCAGCCCACGCCUGACUCUGAGGAAGCAGCAGCAGCUGCUUUUUGCAUGCAGUGGAGAAGAAACCUGUUGUUGCACAGAGCCAAAGAGUCCUUCACCUCAGACAGGGAUGAACUGGGGCUGCGCAGGACUGGGGCCAGCGCUGAACCCUCCCUGGUGGCGAUGGUGCAAGAACAAGCACCACACACCAAGGACACCCCCAAGCACCCAAAGCCUGGUUUAGGAUGUACAGUUAUGGGUGGCCACCUGUAGAAAGAGGAAGGGAUUUGUGCUUCCUUUGGGUGAGUGAACAGAGAAGAAUGAUGCCACGAUACAGGGCAGGCAGCAUGUGAUGAGGUACCUUCACUAUCUGCCAGUUCUGUGUUCUCCAGCACCCAAGAUGUGAACAGAAGGAUGUAGGAACACACUCAUGGCACCACCAGCAGAUCUGCCUGGGGGGAAUAUGUAGGGACAGGCCAAGGGGAAUGGCUUUAACCUGCCAGAGGGGAGAUUGAGAUGAGCUCUGAGGCAGAAGCUCUUCCCUGUGAGGGUGCUGAGGCGCUGGCACAGACUUUUCCCAGAGAAGCUGUGGCUGCCCCAUCCCUGGCAGUGUUCAAGGCCAGGUUGGACACAGGGGCUUGGAGCAACCUGCUCUAGUGGAAGGUGUCCCUGCCCGUAGCAGGGGGUUGGAGCUGGAUCAGCUUUAAGGUCCCUCCAACCCAAACCAGGCUGGGAUUCUAUAAGGGAUCAGGGGGUUCUGUGAACAACCCAAUUGCUCAUCUCCCACACGAGAAAGCCACUGAGCUGAAAGGUCCUUCUCAGGCCCUGAUCUUCAGCACUUUAUCAAACCUUUUUGCAACCAUCUCAGGGUAACAAUCCUAAACACUGCACAGGAAGGGCGGGCAGAGAGAGAGCGCCCUGCAGAGGAGCCAGUGCACUGGGCUCAUACACCAGACAUGAAGUCAAGAGGGUAAAUUGCACCAUAGAAGCUAGAGGAAAGAUGCACUGAACGAGAAGGAAGCCUAAGGGAGUUAAUGAGGGAUCACUGAGGUCUGAAACACAAAACAGGAGUGUAAUUGUUCUGUCUUUGCAAGAAUAAAUGGAU
ensembl:lncRNA